rnacentral:rRNA from 1 species
UGGGGAAUAUUGGGCAAUGGAGGAAACUCUGACCCAGCCACGCCGCGUGGUGGAAGACACCCCUAUGGGGCGUAAACACCUUUUGUGUGAGAAGAACACCCUCUUUUGGGAGGGCUUGACGGUAUCACACGAAUAAGCACCGGCUAACUCCGUGCCAGCAGCCGCGGUAAUACGGAGGGUGCAAACGUUGUCCGGAAUCACUGGGUGUAAAGGGUGUGUAGGCGGGACUGUAAGUCAGAGGUGAAAGCCCACGGCUCAACCGUGGAAUUGCCUUUGAUACUGCAGUUCUUGAAUCCUGGAGAGGUCACUAGAAUUCGUGGUGUAGCGGUGAAAUGCGUAGAUAUCACGAGGAAUACCAGAGGCGUAGGCGGGUGACUGGACAGGUAUUGACGCUGAGGCACGAAAGCGUGGGGAGCAA